rnacentral:lncRNA from 1 species
GAACUUCGCCCACGCCCCCCGCCAAGGCUAUAGCCCACCCGUUUUUUGGCCAUUUUUCCGCUGGGGGGUGUUGGCGCCCCGACCUUCGGGCUCUCAUUUUUGGGCGCGGCUGUGCCCGUGGCCUAUUUUUGGCACACGGAGGCCGCCCGCAAAGUCUUGGGCCAUUCCGAGUCUGGCGGACGAACUUCGCCCACGCCCCCCGCCAAGGCUAUAGCACACCCGUUUCUUGGCCAUUUUUCCGCUGGGGGGUGCUGGCGCCCCGACCUUCGGGCGCUCAUUUUUGGGCGCGGCUGUGCCCGUGGCCUAUUUUUGGCACACGGAGGCCGCCCGCAAAGUCGGGGGCCAUUCCGAGUCCGGCGGACGAACUUCGCCCACGCCCCCCACCAAGGCUAUAGGCCACCCAUUUUUCGGCCAAUUUUCCGCUGGGGGGUGUUGGCGCCCCGACCUUCGGGUGCUCAUUUUUGGGCGCGGCUGUGCCCGUGGCCUAUUUUUGGCACACGGAGGCCGCCCGCAAAGUCUUGGGCCAUUCCGAGUCCGGCGGACGAACUUCGCCCACGCCCCCCGCCAAGGCUAUAGCACACCCGUUUCUUGGCCAUUUUUCCGCUGGGGGGUGCUGUCGCCCCGACCUUCGGGCGCUCAUUUUUGGGCGCGGCUGUGCCCGUGGCCUAUUUUUGGCACACGGAGGCCGCCCGCAAAGUCUGGGGCCAUUCCGAGUCCGGCGGACGAACUUCGCCCACGCCCCCCACCAAGGCUAUAGGCCACCCAUUUUUCGGCCAAUUUUCCGCUGGGGGGUGUUGGCGCCCCGACCUUCGGGCGCUCAUUUUUGGGCGCGGCUGUGCCCGUGGCCUAUUUUUGGCACACGGAGGCCGCCCGCAAAGUCUGGGGCCAUUCCGAGUCCGGCGGACGAACUUCGCCCACGCCCCCCACCAAGGCUAUAGCCCACACGUUUUUUGGCCAUUUUUCCGCUGGGAGGUGUUGGCGCCCCGACCUUCGGAUGCUCAUUUUUGGGCGCGGCUGUGCUCGUGGCCUAUUUUUGGCGCACGGAGGCCGCCCGCAAAGUCUGGGGCCAUUCCGAGUCCGGCGGACAAACUUCGCCCACGCCCCCCACCAAGGCUAUAGGCCACCCGUUUGUCGGCCAAUUUUCCGCUGGGGGGUGUUGGCGCCCCGACCUUCCGGCGCUCAUUUUUCGGCGCGGCUAUGCCCGUGGCCUAUAUUUGGCACACGGAGGCCGCCCGCAAAGUCUGGGGCCAUUCCGAGUCCGGCGGACGAACUUCGCCCACGCCCCCCGCCAAGGCUAUAGCACACCCGUUUCUGGGCCAUUUUUCCGCUGGGGGGUGUUGGCGCCCCAACCUUCGGGCGCUCAUUUUUGGGCGCGGCUGUGCCCGUGGCCUAUUUUUGGCACACGGAGGCCGCCCGCAAAGUCUGGGGCCAUUCCGAGUCCGGCGGACGAACUUCGCCCACGCCCCCGGCCAAGGCUAUAGCACACCCGUUUCUGGGCCAUUUUUCUGCUGGGGGGUGUUGGCGCCCCGACCUUCGGGCGUUCAUUUUUGGGCGCGGCUGUGCCCGUGGCCUAUUUUUGGCACACGGAGGCCGCCCGCAAAGUCUGGGGCCAUUCCGAGUCCGGCGGACGAACUUCGCCCACGCCCCCCGCCAAAGGCUAUAGCCCACCCGUUUUUUGGCCAUUUUUCCGCUGGGGGGUGUUGGCGGCCCGAUCUUCGGGCGCUCAUUAUUGGGCGCGGCUGUGCCCGUGGCCUAUUUUUUGCACACGGAGGCCGCCCGCAAAGUCUGGGGCCAUUCCGAGUCCGGCGGACGAACUUCGCCCACGCCCCCCUCCAAGGCUAUAGCCGACCCGUUUUU